AAGUUGUGAGUAGGACAAGCAACCAAUAAUCUCUUGAAUCUCUUGCAUGCAUCACCCAAUGAUUCUCCCUCCUUCUGUUUAAAAUUCAUAAUAUCAUAUCUUUUCUU